UUGGGUCCUCUCUCUUUGCUUCUUGAUGAGUCUGGCUAACAGUUAUCAAUCUUGUUUAACUUUUCAAAGAACCAUCUCUUGGUUUCAUUGAACUUUU